CUGAUUGGAAGACCCUUAUUACUUAUUGGAGAUCUUCGGCAUUUGAAGCUGUCAAACUUGGGCAUGAUCCUCGAAGAGAUGAAGUUUAUAUCGAAACACAUACAUGCAAGAAAGGGGAAAGGAAAGGGAAUUAUGUGCCGCAGGCAGCAGCAACAAUUAAGGAACUCAUAGAGAAAGGUGAACAGCACCCCGAAUGGAAGGAAAAAAACAUUAAAGAAG